rnacentral:rRNA from 1 species
CCCGCUGAACUUAAGCAUAUCAAUAAGCGGAGGAAAAGAAACUAACAAGGAUUCCCCUAGUAACUGCGAGUGAAGCGGGAAGAGCUCAAAUUUAAAAUCUGGCGGUCUCGCGGCCGUCCGAGUUGUAAUCUGGAGAAGCGUUUUCCGCGUCGGACCGUGUACAAGUCUUCUGGAACGGAGCGUCGUAGAGGGUGAGAAUCCCGUCUCUGACACGGACAGCCGAUGCUUCAUGUGAUACGCUCUCGAAGAGUCGAGUUGUUUGGGAAUGCAGCUCAAAAUGGGUGGUAAAUUCCAUCUAAAGCUAAAUAUUGGCGAGAGACCGAUAGCGAACAAGUACCGUGAGGGAAAGAUGAAAAGCACUUUGGAAAGAGAGUUAAACAGUAUGUGAAAUUGUUGAAAGGGAAACGUUUGAAGUCAGUCGCGUCGGCCGAGACUCAACCUUGCUCUUCGCUCGGUGCACUUCUCGGUUGACGGGUCAGCAUCAAUUUCGACCGCCGGACAAAGGUCAGGGGAAUGUGGCAUCCUUCGGGAUGUGUUAUAGCCCUUGAUUCGCAUACGGCGAUUGGGAUUGAGGAACUCGGCGCUUCACGCGUCCAGGAUGCUGGCAUAAUGGCUUUAAGCGACCCGUCUUGAAACACGG